rnacentral:tRNA from 1 species
GGUUCUGUGGUUUAAUGGCAGAAUAACACGUUGUGGCCGUGUAGAUCCGUGUUCGAUUCACGGCAGAGCCA